rnacentral:rRNA from 1 species
UGGGGAAUUUUGCACAAUGGGGGAAACCCUGAUGCAGCGACGCCGCGUGAUUUAGAAGGCCUUCGGGUUGUAAAAAUCUUUUCUAUGGGAAGAAAAUGACAGUACCAUAGGAAUAAGGACCGGCUAAUUACGUGCCAGCAGCCGCGGUAAUACGUAAGGUCCGAGCGUUGUCCGGAAUCAUUGGGCGUAAAGGGUACGUAGGCGGGUAAGCAAGUUAGAAGUGAAAUCCUAUAGCUCAACUAUAGUAAGCUUUUAAAACUGCUCAUCUUGAGGUAUGGAAGGGAAAGUGGAAUUCCUAGUGUAGCGGUGAAAUGCGCAGAUUUUAGGAGGAAUACCGGUGGCGAAGGCGACUUUCUGGCCAUAACCUGACGCUGAGGUACGAAAGCGUGGGUAGCAAACAGG